UCGCACGAGUUUAGACUCGUGGCGAAUAGCUCCGUAACACGUGGCCAAACUACCCUCUGGAGCGGGAUAACCUCGGGAAACUGAGGCUAAUACCGCAUACGGCUCUCCGCCUUGAACGGCCUGAGCCGGAAAUGCUCCGGCGCCAGAGGAUGUGGCUGCGGCCGAUUAGGUAGACGGUGGGGUAACGGCCCACCGUGCCGAUAAUCGGUACGGGUUGUGAGAGCAAGAACCCGGAGACGGUAUCUGAGACAAGAUACCGGGCCCUACGGGGCGCAGCAGGCGCGAAACCUUUACACUGCACGCCAGUGCGAUAAGGGGACCCCGAGUGCGAGGGCAUAUAGCCCUCGCUUUUGUACACCGUACUGAGGUGUACGAAUAAGGACUGGGCAAGACCGGUGCCAGCCGCCGCGGUAAUACCGGCAGUCCAAGUGAUGGCCGCUAUUAUUGGGCCUAAAGCGUCCGUAGCCGGCCAGGCAAGUUCGUCGGGAAAUCCACCUGCUCAACAGGUGGGCGUCCGGCGAAAACUGUCUGGCUAGGGACCGGAAGACCCGAGGGGUACGUCCAGGGUAGGAGUGAAAUCCUAUAAUCCUGGACGGACCACCGGUGGCGAAAGCGCCUCGGGAAGACGGAUCCGACGGUGAGGGACGAAAGCUUGGGUCACGAACCGGAUUAGAUACCCGGGUAGUCCAAGCUGUAAACGAUGCUCGCUAGGUGUGGCACAGGCUACGAGCCUGUGCUGUGCCGCAGGGAAGCCGCGAAGCGAGCCGCCUGGGAAGUACGUCUGCAAGGAUGAAACUUAAAGGAAUUGGCGGGGGAGCACUACAACCGGAGGAGCCUGCGGUUUAAUUGGACUCAACGCCGGACAUCUCAC
rnacentral:rRNA from 1 species